rnacentral:rRNA from 1 species
AUUGAACGCUGGCGACAUGCCUUACACAUGCAAGUCGAACGGCAGCACGGGUGCUUGCUCCUGGUGGCGAUGGGCGAACGGGUGAGUAAUACAUAUGAACAUGUCCUGUAUUGUUGGAUAGGGCGGCCGAAGCGAGAUUUAUACUGCAUACGAUCUACGGAUGAGGGCGGGGGCCCUGCAUGCCCCGCCCUUGAGCGUUUGCCGGAGGCGAUGUAGGAUUAGCUAGUUGUUGGGGUAAAGGCCUACCAAGGCGACGAUCUGUAGCUGGUCUGAGAGGACGAUCAGUCACACUGGGACUGAGACACGGACCAGACUCCUACGGGAGGCAGCAGUGGGGAAUUUUGGACAAUGGGCGAAAGCCUGAUCCAGCAAUGCCGCGUGUGUGAAGAAGGCCUUCGGGUUGUAAAGCACUUUUGUCCGGAAAGAAAACCUUGGCCCUAAUACGGUCGGGGGAUGACGGUACCGGAAGAAUAAGCACCGGCUAACUACGUG